rnacentral:rRNA from 1 species
UCCUACGGGCGGCUGCAGUGGGGAAUAUUGCACAAUGGGGGAAACCCUGAUGCAGCAACGCCGCGUGAAGGAAGACGGUUUUCGGAUUGUAAACUUCUUUUCUUAGUGAAGAAGAAAGUGACGGUAGCUAAGGAAUAAGCAUCGGCUAACUACGUGCCAGCAGCCGCGGUAAUACGUAGGAUGCGAGCGUUAUCCGGAAUUACUGGGUGUAAAGGGAGCGCAGGCGGGACUGCAAGUUGGAUGUGAAAUGCCGCAGCUUAACUGCGGAGCUGCAUCCAAAACUGUAGUUCUUGAGUGGAGUAGAGGCAAGCGGAAUUCCGAGUGUAGCGGUGAAAUGCGUAGAUAUUCGGAGGAACACCAGUGGCGAAGGCGGCUUGCUGGGCUGUAACUGACGCUGAGGCUCGAAAGUGUGGGGAGCAAACAGGAUUAGAUACCCUAGUAGUCAAUGACGUA